CAAUAGCGUAUAUUAAAGUUGUUGCGGUAAAAAAGCUCGUAGUUGGAUUUCUGUUGAGAGCGACCGGUCCAUACCAUGUAUGCGUAUCUGGCUUGCUCUCGGCAUCCUCUCGAUAGACGUUGCUGCGCUUGAUUGCGUGGCGCGGAUCUCGGGACUUUUACUUUGAGGAAAUUAGAGUGUUCACGGCAGGCUUUCGCCAGAAUACAUUAGCAUGGAAUAAUACUAUAGGAUCUUGGUUCUAUUUUGUUGGUUUCUAGAAUUGAGAUAAUGAUUAAUAGGGACAAUUGGGGGCAUUCGUAUCAACACGUCAGAGGUGGAAUUCUUGGAUUGUGUUGCGACGAACUACUGCGAAAGCAUUUGCCAAGGAUGUUUUCAUUG
rnacentral:rRNA from 1 species